UACAGAGGUGGCAAGCGUUGUUCGGAAUUACUGGGCGUAAAGGGCGCGUAGGCGGCCAUCUAAGUCAGACGUGAAAUCCCCCGGCUUAACCUGGGAACUGCGUCUGAUACUGGAAGGCUUGAGUAUGGGAGAGGGAUGUAGAAUUCCGGGUGUAGCGGUGGAAUGCGUAGAGAUCCGGAAGAACACCGGUGGCGAAGGCGGCCUGCUGGGGUCUGGCUGACGCUGAGGCGCGACAGCGUGGGGAGCAAACAGG
rnacentral:rRNA from 1 species